CGUAGGGUACAAGCGUUGUCCGGAAUUAUUGGGGCGUAAAGAGCUCGUAGGUGGUCUGUCACGUCUGCUGUGGAAACGCAAGGCUCAACCUUGCGCGUGCAGUGGGUACGGGCGGACUAGAGUGCAGUAGGGGAGUCUGGAAUUCCUGGUGUAGCGGUGAAAUGCGCAGAUAUCAGGAGGAACACCGGUGGCGAAGGCGGGACUCUGGGCUGUAACUGACGCUGAGGAGCGAAAGCAUGGGGAGCGAACAGGAUU
rnacentral:rRNA from 1 species